rnacentral:rRNA from 1 species
GGUUAAGCGACUAAGCGUACACGGUGGAUGCCCUGGCAGUCAGAGGCGAUGAAGGACGUGCUAAUCUGCGAAAAGCGUCGGUAAGGUGAUAUGAACCGUUAUAGCCGGCGAUGUCCGAAUGGGGAAACCCAGUGUGAUUCGUCACACUAUCGUUAACUGAAUACAUAGGUUAACGAGGCGAACCGGGGGAACUGAAACAUCUAAGUACCCCGAGGAAAAGAAAUCAACCGAGAUUCCCCCAGUAGCGGCGAGCGAACGGGGAGCAGCCCAGAGUCUGAAUCAGCUUGUGUAUUAGUGGAACGGUCUGGAAAGUCCGACGGUACAGGGUGAUAGUCCCGUACACCAAAAUGCACAGGCUGUGAACUCGAAGAGUAGGGCGGGACACGUGGUAUCCUGUCUGAAUAUGGGGGGACCAUCCUCCAAGGCUAAAUACUCCUGACUGACCGAUAGUAAACCAGUACCGUGAGGGAAAGGCGAAAAGAACCCCGGCGAGGGGAGUGAAAAAGAACCUGAAACCGUGUACGUACAAGCAGUGGGAGCACCUUCGGGUGUGACUGCGUACCUUUUGUAUAAUGGGUCAGCGACUUAUAUUCUGUAGCAAGGUUAACCGUAUAGGGGAGCCGCAGGGAAACCGAGUCUUAACUGGGCGUUAAGUUGCAGGGUAUAGACCCGAAACCCGGUGAUCUAGCCAUGGGCAGGUUGAAGGUUGGGUAACACUAACUGGAGGACCGAACCGACUAAUGUUGAAAAAUUAGCGGAUGACUUGUGGCUGGGGGUGAAAGGCCAAUCAAACCGGGAGAUAGCUGGUUCUCCCCGAAAGCUAUUUAGGUAGCGCCUCGUGAAUUCAUCUUCGGGGUAGAGCACUGUUUCGGCUAGGGGGUCAUCCCGACUUACCAACCCGAUGCAAACUACGAAUACCGAAGAAUGUUAUCACGGGAGACACACGGCGGGUGCUAACGUCCGUCGUGAAGAGGGAAACAACCCAGACCGCCAGCUAAGGUCCCAAAGUCAUGGUUAAGUGGGAAACGAUGUGGGAAGGCACAGACAGCCAGGAUGUUGGCUUAGAAGCAGCCAUCAUUUAAAGAAAGCGUAAUAGCUCACUGGUCGAGUCGGCCUGCGCGGAAGAUGUAACGGGGCUAAACCAUGCACCGAAGCUGCGGCAGCGACACUAUGUGUUGUUGGGUAGGGGAGCGUUCUGUAAGCCUGCGAAGGUGACCUGUGAGGGUUGCUGGAGGUAUCAGAAGUGCGAAUGCUGACAUAAGUAACGAUAAAGCGGGUGAAAAGCCCGCUCGCCGGAAGACCAAGGGUUCCUGUCCAACGUUAAUCGGGGCAGGGUGAGUCGACCCCUAAGGCGAGGCCGAAAGGCGUAGUCGAUGGGAAACAGGUUAAUAUUCCUGUACUUGGUGUUACUGCGAAGGGGGACGGAGAAGGCUAUGUUAGCCGGGCGACGGUUGUCCCGGUUUAAGCAUGUAGGCUGGUUGUCCAGGCAAAUCCGGAUAAUCAAGGCUGAGGUGUGAUGACGAGGUACUACGGUGCUGAAGUAACAAAUGCCCUGCUUCCAGGAAAAGCCUCUAAGCAUCAGGUAACAUCAAAUCGUACCCCAAACCGACACAGGUGGUCAGGUAGAGAAUACCAAGGCGCUUGAGAGAACUCGGGUGAAGGAACUAGGCAAAAUGGUGCCGUAACUUCGGGAGAAGGCACGCUGGUGUGUAGGUGAAGUCCCUGCGGAUGGAGCUGAGACCAGUCGAAGAUACCAGCUGGCUGCAACUGUUUAUUAAAAACACAGCACUGUGCAAACACGAAAGUGGACGUAUACGGUGUGACGCCUGCCCGGUGCCGGAAGGUUAAUUGAUGGGGUUAUCCGUAAGGAGAAGCUCUUGAUCGAAGCCCCGGUAAACGGCGGCCGUAACUAUAACGGUCCUAAGGUAGCGAAAUUCCUUGUCGGGUAAGUUCCGACCUGCACGAAUGGCGUAAUGAUGGCCAGGCUGUCUCCACCCGAGACUCAGUGAAAUUGAACUCGCUGUGAAGAUGCAGUGUACCCGCGGCAAGACGGAAAGACCCCGUGAACCUUUACUAUAGCUUGACACUGAACAUUGAGCCUUGAUGUGUAGGAUAGGUGGGAGGCUUUGAAGCGUGGACGCCAGUCUGCGUGGAGCCAACCUUGAAAUACCACCCUUUAAUGUUUGAUGUUCUAACGUUGGCCCCUGACCGGGGUUGCGGACAGUGUCUGGUGGGUAGUUUGACUGGGGCGGUCUCCUCCCAAAGCGUAACGGAGGAGCACGAAGGUUAGCUAAUCCUGGUCGGACAUCAGGAGGUUAGUGCAAUGGCAUAAGCUAGCUUGACUGCGAGCGUGACGGCGCGAGCAGGUGCGAAAGCAGGUCAUAGUGAUCCGGUGGUUCUGAAUGGAAGGGCCAUCGCUCAACGGAUAAAAGGUACUCCGGGGAUAACAGGCUGAUACCGCCCAAGAGUUCAUAUCGACGGCGGUGUUUGGCACCUCGAUGUCGGCUCAUCACAUCCUGGGGCUGAAGUAGGUCCCAAGGGUAUGGCUGUUCGCCAUUUAAAGUGGUACGCGAGCUGGGUUUAGAACGUCGUGAGACAGUUCGGUCCCUAUCUGCCGUGGGCGCUGGAGAAUUGAGGGGGGCUGCUCCUAGUACGAGAGGACCGGAGUGGACGCAUCACUGGUGUUCGGGUUGUCAUGCCAAUGGCACUGCCCGGUAGCUAAAUGCGGAAGAGAUAAGUGCUGAAAGCAUCUAAGCACGAAACUUGCCCCGAGAUGAGUUCUCCCUGAGACUUUAAGUCUCCUGAAGGAACGUUGAAGACGACGACGUUGAUAGGCCGGGUGUGUAAGCGCAGCGAUGCGUUGAGCUAACCGGUACUAAUGAACCGUGAGGCUUAACCUU